ACUCAAAGGAAUUGACGGGGGCCCGCACAAGCGGAGGAACAUGUGGUUUAAUUCGAUGAUACGCGAGGAACCUUACCUGGGUUUAAAUGGGAAGUGACAGGGGUGGAAACAUCCCCUUCUUCGGACACUUUUCAAGGUGCUGCAUGGUUGUCGUCAGCUCGUGCCGUGAGGUGUCGGGUUAAGUCCCAUAACGAGCGCAACCCACGUCGUUAGUUGCCAACAGGUCAAGCUGGGAACUCUAACGAGACUGCCGGUGUAAACCGUGAGGAAGGUGUGGAUGACGUCAAAUCAGCACGGCCCUUACAUCCAGGGCUACACACGUGUUACAAUGGCCGGUACAGAGGGCAGCUACUAUGUGAAUAGAUGCGAAUCUCCAAAACCGGUCCCAGUUCGGAUUGAAGUCUGCAACCCGACUUCAUGAAGCUGGAUUCGCUAGUAAUCGCGCAUCAGCCAUGGCGCGGUGAAUACGUUCCCGGGCCUUGUACACACCGCCCGU
rnacentral:rRNA from 1 species